ACGUAGGAGGCGAACGUUAUCCGGAUUUACUGGGCGUAAAGCGCGUGUAGGUGGUUCUGUAAGUAGGGCGUGAAAGCUCCUGGCUCAACUGGGAGAGGCCGUGCUGAACUACAGAACUAGAGGAUGGUAGAGGGAGGGGGAAUUCCAGGGGUAGCGGUGGAAUGCGCUAAUCCUUGGAGGAACACCAGUGGCGAAGGCGAGCAACUGGAACUAGCCGGCCGGUUAGUCGCGAAAGCGAGGGGUGAGAACCG
rnacentral:rRNA from 1 species